CAAUAGCGUAUAUUAAAGUUGUUGCGGUAAAAAAGCUCGUAGUUGGAUUUCUGUUGAGAGCGACCGGUCCAUACCAUGUAUGCGUAUCUGGCUUGCUCUCGGCAUCCUCUCGAUAGACGUUACUGCGCUUGAUUGCGUGGUGCGGAUCUCGGGACUUUUACUUUGAGGAAAUUAGAGUGUUCACGGCAGGCUUUCGCCAGAAUACAUUAGCAUGGAAUAAUACUAUAGGAUCUUGGUUCUAUUUUGUUGGUUUCUAGAAUUGAGAUAAUGAUUAAUAGGGACAAUUGGGGGCAUUCGUAUCAACACAUCAGAGGUGGAAUUCUUGGAUUGUGUUGCGACGAACUACUGCGAAAGCAUUUGCCAAGGAUGUUUUCAUUGA
rnacentral:rRNA from 1 species